CCGCGCUUUGCUAACAUGGCUGAAUUAUGACGAGCCGAGUUGCGGUCAGUCUGCUCAAGCCGGGUCCUGCGCGGCAGGACUCCCGAACCGUGUCAGGACCGAGAGGUAGCAGCACUAAGGCGAUCACCCUGGGCGCCGCAGGGGCUCCCGGUUUGAGCAGAGUGUCCACAACCGGCUCGCCGUAUUUUGCGG
rnacentral:SRP_RNA from 1 species